UACGUAGGGGGCAAGCGUUGUCCGGAAUCAUUGGGCGUAAAGAGCGUGUAUGCGGUCCGGUAAGUCGGCUGUGAAAGUCCAGGGCUCAACCCUGGGAUGCCGGUCGAUACUGCCGGACUAGAGUUCGGAAGAGGCGAGUGGAAUUCCCGGUGUAGCGGUGAAAUGCGCAGAUAUCAGGAGGAACACCCGUGGCGAAAGCGGCUCUCUGGGACGGUACUGACGCUGAGACGCGAAAGCGUGGGGAGCGAACAGG
rnacentral:rRNA from 1 species